rnacentral:misc_RNA from 1 species
GGUCGGGGGCCGGCGCGGUGGCUGUAGGAUCGGGGAGUUGCUGUUCCCGGCGGCUUUCGCGCAGUACCGGUGCCUCAAUCCGUCCUUCGCUCCGUUUCCGGCCCCCGCCACAUCGAACCGGACAGGCGGAUU